rnacentral:rRNA from 1 species
AGUGAACGCUGGCGGUAGGCCUAACACAUGCAAGUCGAACGGCAGCACAGUAAGAGCUCGCUCUUACGGGUGGCGAGUGGCGGACGGGUGAGGAAUACAUCGGAAUCUACUUUUUCGUUGGGGAUAACGUAGGGAAACUUACGCUAAUACCGCAUACGACCUACGGGUGAAAGCAGGGGAUCUUCGUACCUUGCGCGAUUGAAUGAGCCGAUGUCGGAUUAGCUAGUUGGCGGGGUAAAGGCCCACCAAGGCGACGAUCCGUAGCUGGUCUGAGAGGAUGAUCAGCCACACUGGAACUGAGACACGGUCCAGACUACUACGGGAGGCAGCAGUGGGAAAUAUUGGACAAUGGGAGCAAGCCUGAUCCAGCCAUACCGCGUGGGUGAAGAAGGCCUUCGGGUUGUAAAGACCUUUUGUUGGGAAAGAAAAGCAGCAGGUUAAUACCCCGCUGUUCUGACGGUACCCAAAGAAUAAGCACCGGCUAACUUCGUG